AUACGGAGGGUGCAAGCGUUACUCGGAAUCACUGGGCGUAAAGCGCGCGCAGGCGGCUAUUUAAGUUGGAUGUGAAAGCCUACGGCUCAACCGUAGAACUGCAUCCAAAACUACUUAGCUAGAGUGUGGGAGAGGAAGAUGGAAUUAGUUGUGUAGGGGUAAAAUCCGUAGAGAUAACUAGGAAUACCAAAAGCGAAGGCAAUCUUCUGGAACACUACUGACGCUGAGGCGCGAAAGCGUGGGGAGCAAACAGGAUUAGAAACCCUAGUAGUCC
rnacentral:rRNA from 1 species